rnacentral:rRNA from 1 species
UAGAGUUUGAUCAUGGCUCAGAUUGAACGCUGGCGGAAUGCUUUACACAUGCAAGUCGAGCGGCAGCGCGGGGCAACCUGGCGGCGAGCGGCGAACGGGUGAGUAAUGCAUCGGAACAUGUCCAUGUCGUGGGGGAUAGCCCGGCGAAAGCCGGAUUAAUACCGCAUAAGCCCGAGAGGGGAAAGUGGGGGACCGCAAGGCCUCACGCGAUUGGGUUGGCCGAUGUCCGAUUAGCUAGUUGGCGGGGUAAGAGCCCACCAAGGCGAUGAUCGGUAGCUGGUCUGAGAGGAUGAUCAGCCACACUGGGACUGAGACACGGCCCAGACUCCUACGGGAGGCAGCAGUGGGGAAUUUUGGACAAUGGGGGCAACCCUGAUCCAGCCAUUCCGCGUGAGKGAAGAAGGCCUUCGGGUUGUAAAGCUCUUUUGUUCGGAACGAAACGGUUACGGCGAAUACCCGUGACUACUGACGGUACCGGAAGAAUAAGCACCGGCUAACUACGUGCCAGCCGCCGCGGKAAUAC